GACGUAGGGCGCGAGCGUUGUCCGGAUUUAUUGGGCGUAAAGAGCUCGUAGGCGGCUUGUCGCGUCGACUGUGAAAUCCCGCGGCUCAACUGCGGGUCUGCAGUCGAUACGGGCAGGCUAGAGUUCGGUAGGGGAGACUGGAAUUCCUGGUGUAGCGGUGAAAUGCGCAGAUAUCAGGAGGAACACCGAUGGCGAAGGCAGGUCUCUGGGCAUUAACUGACGCUGGAGGUGCGAAAGCGUGGGGAGCAAACAGG
rnacentral:rRNA from 1 species